AUUACAGUAUAGAGGCAUCACAGUACUACAGUAUAGAGGCAUCACAGUAUUACAGUGUAGAGGCAUCACAGUAUUACAGUGUAGAGGCAUCACAGUAUUACAGUGUAGAGGCAUCACAGUAUUACAGUGUAGAGGCAUCACAGUAUUACAGUGUAGAGGCAUCACAGUAUUACAGUGUAGAGGCAUCACAGUACUACAGUGUAGAGGCAUCACAGUACUACAGUGUAGAGGCAUCACAGUACUACAGUGUAGAGGCAUCACAGUGUAGAGGCAUCACAGUACUACAGUGUAGAGGCAUCACAGUACUACAGUGUAGAGGAAUCACAGUACUACAGUGUAGAGGAAUCACAGUACUACAGUGUAGAGGCAUCACAGUACUACAGUGUAGAGGCAUCACAGUACUACAGUGUAGAGGCAUCACAGUACUACAGUGUAGAGGCAUCACAGUACUACAGUGUAGAGGCAUCACAGUAUUACAGUGUAGAGGCAUCACAGUACUACAGUGUAGAGGCAUCACAGUACUACAGUGUAGAGGCAUCACAGUAUUACAGUGUAGAGGCAUCACAGUACUACCUUCCUACACCUUAAUAAAGCGAAGGAAGCCCAUCUCAGCCUGCACCAUGUGACCUGCAUGGCAGAAUCAGUUGAGAUUUUCACACCUCUGCUGGUGUGUGUUGAUGAGAGCGCUGUGGAGACAGCCUGCACCCUGAGCCCUUCCUAGCAGU
rnacentral:lncRNA from 1 species